AAGUCGUAACAAGGUUUCCGUAGGUGAACCUGCGGAAGGAUCAUUACAAAAUCUGUGAGGGUGGUUGGAGGGGGUUUGGUAGUGGAUUGUUGGUUAGCUUUUGUUGAUCUCUAUCUACUUGCCAACCCACCUAUUCCCCACUUAACAUUUGCGCUUGUAUUGUUUGACAGAGUAAAUUACACACUAAACCUAAACAACUUUUAACAAUGGAUCUCUGGGCUCUU
rnacentral:misc_RNA from 1 species